rnacentral:lncRNA from 1 species
AGACACAUGGGCUUCAGAAGUUGGCCCAGUUCUGAGUAAAAGUUCUCCAAGACUGAUAACAACCUGGGAGAAAGUUCCAGUUGGUACCAAUGGAGGAGUUACAGUGGUGGGCCUUGUCUCCAGUCUCCUUGGUGGUACCUUUGUGGGCAUUGCAUACUUCCUCACACAGCUGAUUUUUGUGAAUGAUUUAGACAUUUCUGCCCCGCAGUGGCCAAUUAUUGCAUUUGGUGGUUUAGCUGGAUUACUAGGAUCAAUUGUGGACUCAUACUUAGGGGCUACAAUGCAGUAUACUGGGUUGGAUGAAAGCACUGGCAUGGUGGUCAACAGCCCAACAAAUAAGGCAAGGCACAUAGCAGGGAAACCCAUUCUUGAUAACAACGCAGUGAAUCUGUUUUCUUCUGUUCUUAUUGCCCUCUUGCUCCCAACUGCUGCUUGGGGUUUUUGGCCCAGGGGGUGAACUUUAUUUCAUUUCCACAGGUUGAAACUGAAUGGGCAGUUCAUGUUAAAAUCACUUUUCAUGGAAAGAGCUCUAUGUAACAGCAUAAUAAAACUGCCUACCUAGCAGCA